rnacentral:RNase_P_RNA from 2 species
AGAGCUGGCUCAGUGGUUGCGGGGCAAGAGUAGAGUUUUAAAAAUCUCUGCUUCUGGCUCUGAGGAAAGUCCGGGCUCCCGAAAAGUCGAACUUGCUGGGUAAUCCCCAGUGCGGGUGACCGUGAGGAGAGUGCCACAGAAACAUACCGCCGAUGGGAAGGAAACUUUUACAGGUAAGGGUGCAAGGGUGCGGUAAGAGCGCACCGGCAGCAUCGAGAGGUGCUGGCCAGGUAAACCCCGGUUGGGUGCAAGGCCGAAGGAGCAACGGUUGGCUUUUUACCGGCUCCGCUUUAAGUGUGCCGCUAGAGGCGUUUGGUAACAGGCGUCCCAGAUAGAUAACCACCUCUUAGAAGUGAGCUUUUGUCUUGCUUCUAUCGAGAACAGAACCCGGCUUAGGUCCAGCUCUAGAU